rnacentral:rRNA from 1 species
GACGAACGCUGGCGGCGUGCUUAACACAUGCAAGUCGAACGGAAAGGCCCUGCUUUUGUGGGGUGCUCGAGUGGCGAACGGGUGAGUAACACGUGAGUAACCUGCCCUUGUCUUUGGGAUAACUUCUGGAAACUGGGGCUAAUACCGGAUAGGAGCUCUUGCUGCACGGUGGGGGUUGGAAAGUUUCGGCGGUUGGGGAUCGAAGGGCGGCUUAUCAGCUUGUUGGUGGGGUAGUUGCUUACCAAGGCUUUGACGGGUAGCCGGCCUGGGAGGGGGACCGGCCACAAUGGGACUGAGAUAGGGCCCAGACUCGAAUGGGAGGCAGCAGGGGGGAAUAUUGCACAGUGAGCGGAAGCGUGAUGCGGCAACGCCGCGUGCGGGAUGACGGCCUUCGGGUUGUAAACCGCUUUCGCCUGUGACGAAGCGUGAGUGACGGUAAUGGGUAAAGAAGCACCGGCUAACUACGUG